ensembl:misc_RNA 7SK 7SK RNA
GAAUGACAUCUGGCUACAACACCCCCCAACCAGGUGAUUCUAGAUUGAUUUGGCUCACCUGGAUGGCUAAAGGGUGUCCUUCAUCUCACAUUGUUCCAAGUAGAGCCCUUCAAAAGCUGAGAAUUUGGUCAAAAAGGGAAAGCCUUCCAAAUAGAGGAGCACCUGUCUUUAGUCAGAAAAUAGGAUUUGGGUAAGUGGAAGUGAGAGAGAAACUUCCUUUGCUGGAGGAGACCCAGGCACACAGAG